ACUCCUGCGGGAGGCAGCAGUGGGGAAUAUUGCACAAUGGGCGCAAGCCUGAUGCAGCCAUGCCGCGUGUAUGAAGAAGGCCUUCGGGUUGUAAAGUACUUUCAGCGGGGAGGAAGGCGAUAAGGUUAAUAACCUUGUUGAUUGACGUUACCCGCAGAAGAAGCACCGGCUAACUCCGUGCCAGCAGCCGCGGUAAUACGGAGGGUGCAAGCGUUAAUCGGAAUUACUGGGCGUAAAGCGCACGCAGGCGGUCUGUCAAGUCGGAUGUGAAAUCCCCGGGCUCAACCUGGGAACUGCAUUCGAAACUGGCAGGCUAGAGUCUUGUAGAGGGGGGUAGAAUUCCAGGUGUAGCGGUGAAAUGCGUAGAGAUCUGGAGGAAUACCGGUGGCGAAGGCGGCCCCCUGGACAAAGACUGACGCUCAGGUGCGAAAGCGUGGGGAGCAAACAGGAUUAGAUACCCCUGUAGUCCCAUGA
rnacentral:rRNA from 1 species